rnacentral:rRNA from 1 species
GCACAACGCGAAGAACCUUACCAACCCUUGACAUGGGUAUCGCGGCCUCAGAGAUGAGGCUUUCAGUUCGGCUGGAUACCACACAGGUGCUGCAUGGCUGUCGUCAGCUCGUGUCGUGAGAUGUUCGGUUAAGUCCGGCAACGAGCGCAACCCACAUUUCCAGUUGCCAUCAUUCAGUUGGGCACUCUGGAAAAACUGCCGAUGAUAAGUCGGAGGAAGGUGUGGAUGACGUCAAGUCCUCAUGGCCCUUACGGGUUGGGCUACACACGUGCUACAAUGGCAGUGACAAUGGGUUAAUCCCAAAAAGCUGUCUCAGUUCGGAUUGGGGUCUGCAACUCGACCCCAUGAAGUCGGAAUCGCUAGUAAUCGCGUAACAGCAUGACGCGGUGAAUACGUUCCCGGGUCUUGUACACACCG